UGAGGGAUAUUGCGCAAUGGGCGAAAGCCUGACGCAGCGACGCCGCGUGAGUGAAGAAGGCCUUCGGGUCGUAAAGCUCUUUUCUGCGUGACGAGGAAGGACGGUAGCGCAGGAAUAAGUCUCGGCUAACUACGUGCCAGCAGCCGCGGUAAAACGUAGGAGACAAACGUUAUCCGGAGUUACUGGGCGUAAAGGGCGCGCAGGCGGCACGAUAAGUCUGUCGUGAAAGCUCCCGGCUAAACCGGGAGAGGUCGAUGGAGACUGUCGAGCUAGAGGACGGUAGAGGCGUGUGGAAUUCCGGGUGUAGUGGUGAAAUGCGUAGAGAUCCGGAGGAACACCAGAGGCGAAGGCGACACGCUGGGCCGUACCUGACGCUGAGGCGCGACAGCAUGGGGAGCGAACGGG
rnacentral:rRNA from 1 species